rnacentral:rRNA from 1 species
UGGGGAAUAUUGGACAAUGGGCGAAAGCCUGAUCCAGCCAUGCCGCGUGAGUGAUGAAGGCCUUAGGGUUGUAAAGCUCUUUCAGUAGGGACGAUAAUGACGGUACCUACAGAAGAAGCCCCGGCUAACUUCGUGCCAGCAGCCGCGGUAAUACGAAGGGGGCUAGCGUUGUUCGGAUUUACUGGGCGUAAAGCGCACGUAGGCGGCUUGUUAAGUCAGGGGUGAAAUCCUGGAGCUCAACUCCAGAACUGCCUUUGAUACUGGCAAGCUAGAGUCCGGAAGAGGUGAGUGGAACUCCUAGUGUAGAGGUGGAAUUCGUAGAUAUUAGGAAGAACACCAGUGGCGAAGGCGGCUCACUGGUCCGGUACUGACGCUGAGGUGCGAAAGCGUGGGGAGCAAACA